UAAGUCCACUAAAGAGCCGUUCGAGACUAGGACGUUGAUAGGUCAGGUGUGUAAGCGUUGUGAGGCGUUGAGCUAACUGAUACUAAUGACUCGAGAGGCUUAACCAUACAACCCAGAUGGGUUUU
rnacentral:rRNA from 1 species